GCCUACGGGAGGCAGCAGUGGGGAAUAUUGCACAAUGGGGGGAACCCUGAUGCAGCGACGCCGCGUGAGUGAAGAAGUAUUUCGGUAUGUAAAGCUCUAUCAGCAGGGAAGAAAAUGACGGUACCUGACUAAGAAGCCCCGGCUAACUACGUGCCAGCAGCCGCGGUAAUACGUAGGGGGCAAGCGUUAUCCGGAUUUACUGGGUGUAAAGGGAGCGCAGACGGUUGUGCAAGUCUGGAGUGAAAGGCGGGGGCCCAACCCCCGGACUGCUCUGGAAACUGUAAAGCUGGAGUGCAGGAGAGGUA
rnacentral:rRNA from 1 species